UGAGCUAUGACUGUGCCUUGGGUGAU
rnacentral:piRNA from 1 species